rnacentral:rRNA from 1 species
GACAGAGGGUGCAAACGUUGUUCGGAAUUACUGGGCGUAAAGCGAGUGUAGGCGGUUCGGUAAGUCGGAUGUGAAAGCCCCGGGCUCAACCCGGGAAGUGCACUCGAUACUGCCGAGCUAGAGUGUCGGAGAGGUUGGUGGAAUUCUCGGUGUAGAGGUGAAAUUCGUAGAUAUCGAGAGGAACACCGUGGCGAAGGCGA